CAUCAUUGUGACAAUGCCUAGUGACAGGCAGAGUAACAUCAUCAGAACACUGAAGUUCGUCCUAGUGACAGGAUAAGUUAUGUCACUUGAACACUAACAUUUUGUCAUUGUGACAAUGCUCAGUGACAGGAAGAGUCACGUCAUCAGAACACUAACGUCAUCAUUGUGACAAUGCCUAGUGACAGAAAGAGUGACGUCACCAGAACACUAACGUCAUCAUUGUGACAAUGCCUAGUGACAGGCAGAGUAACAUCGUCAGAACACUGAAGUUCAUCCUAGUGACAGGAUAAGUUAUGUCACUUGAACACUAACAUUUUGUCAUUGUGACAAUGCUCAGUGACAGGAAGAGUCACUUCACCAAAACACUAAUGUCAUCAUUGUGACAAUGCCUAGUGACAGAAAGAGUCACAUCACCAGAACACUAAUGUCAUCAUUGUGACAAUCCCUAGUGACAGAAAGAGUCACGUCACCAGAACACUAACGUCAUCAUUGUGACAAUGCCUAGUGACAGGAAGAGUCACGUCACCAGAACACUAACGUCAUCAUUGUGACAAUGCCUAGUGACAGGCAGAGUAAUGUUGUCAGAGCACUGAAGUUCGUCCUAGUGACAGGAUAAGUUAUGUCACUUGAACACUAACAUUUUGUCAUUGUGACAAUGCUCAGUGACAGGAAGAGUCACGUCACCAGAACACUAACGUCAUCAUUGUGACAAUGCCUAGUGACAGGCAGAGUAACGUCGUCAGAGCACUGAAGUUCGUCCUAGUGACAGGAUAAGUUAUGUCACUUGAACACUAACAUUUUGUCAUUGUGACAAUGCUCAGUGACAGGAAGAGUCACGUCACCAGAACACUAACGUCAUCAUUGUGACAAUGCCUAGUGACAGGCAGAGUAACGUCGUCGGAGCACUGAAGUUCGUCCUAGUGACAGGAUAAGUUAUGUCACUUGAACACUAACAUUUUGUCAUUGUGACAAUGCUCAGUGACAGGAAAAGUAACGUCACCAGUACACUAACAUUUUGUCAUUGUGACAAUGCUCAGUGACAGGAAGAGUAACGUCGUCAGAGCACUGAAGUUCGUCCUAGUGACAGGAUAAGUUAUGUCACUUGAACACUAACAUUUUGUCAUUGUGACAAUGCUCAGUGAUAGGAAGAGUCAUAAAGAGAUUCAUAACUUCAACUAUCACUGUAGUGUAUGAAACCGACCACAAAGUUUCAGGACUACAAGUAUGGACAUGUCAAUCGAUUGUGCUUAUGGUUGUGUCCCUUGGCAGCGAUUUCAGAAAUUUAUCACAAAAAGUCACUGGAAGGACUCCUGAUCUGUUGAGAAGAAACAUUAUACAGGUUGUGAGUAAAGCUACGGAGACAGGGGUCAGGAAUAUAUAUUAAGCUCAUUUGUUUGGAUGGAUGCAGGAAUCAAGUGUUUGUGGUUUAACUGCCUGUAACUUGUCAGUGCUGAUACCAACAUAGCAAUCCUGUUGAUCUUGUUGACAUUUUAAGUGGGAGUGAAGUAGUGUCAGACCAAUAGAGAAAGUGUAGCUUUAAAAACAAUCAUUAUUGCCAAUACACUUAAUGUUUUUGUUAACAAUGACUGGGAAAUAUGCUUAUUAAAAAUACUGGUUUCAAAACAACCAAAUACACACCCUCAAUAAAUAAAUGGUGAUGUGGCCCAGCCAUAUUAAUGACAUGUAGAUCUCUGCUCACCAAAUAAAGUCAAUAAAACCAGUAUAUUGUUAUCAUGAUGUCACCCUAAUAAAACAGAUCUAGGUAUA